UUCUGGCGACGUCAUGAGAUUCAAGGCGGGGAGGCGGCCAUUUUUGGUAGGGGCGGAGAGGUGCCACACCGACCGUCAUCUUUGUGGUGGGCAUGCUUCCCUGCUUGGUGGCCAUCUUGGAUUGGGGCACGAAUCUGCUAGCUGCCAGCAGGACGGCCAUCUUGGACUGAAGAAAGCAGGUGUCUCAAGGCAUUGCAGGCGCGGAACCAGAGAGAGGACAGGUCUCCCUGCUCUCUCCCGAACUCAGCCUCCAGGGAGCUGCUGAGAUCCGCCCUCCAAAUGAUGGGAUUGCUGGUUAACCCUUGAGCCGACAGCAGUGCUACCAAGUGGAUGCCCUUCUGUUACUGUAACUUACUGAUCCACAGAGAAGGGACCACCUCCCAUUUCAAGACACUUUGUCUAAACUUUUCUAUCUGUGUUCACAUAGAUUCAGGAUCAGAAUAAGCCUUCCUUUGCAAAUGUGUCUGCUAGCGAUUGGCUGGCUCCAGGGAGACAGGGAGGAGGAGGAAGCAGAAGAGAAUUACAAGGUUUCGGAUUCCUGUAAACAGAGAAACAUUUUUCCAGUCAUCAGACUCCACGUCCAGUGGAAAUGGAGCUUCAAUUUCCCCUGGUUAACAUCGAGGAUGUGCUGUUGACAUACCCCCUUCUUCUCUAGCAAUUGCUGUAUGCUGUUUAGUCUGCUGCUGAUUCAGAAACUUUGUCUCUGGGCAGUCAUUGCUGUGGUUUCCUUCUCUUUUAUUUUCCAAGUGUGCCUGGCUUCCAGCCCAGGAGCAGGUGUCUAAGCUCUGGGGGAGAGGCAUAACAGCACUGACUCUCUCUCUCCAAACCCUGGAUCCGAACUCUGCCAAACUUGAUAAAAUUCAGAUGUGAACUUAAGAAUUCAGGCUAAAUUCUGAUAAAUUUCCCUGCCCCGUCCUGAGAUACAUAUCUGUGUUUUCUUGUACGCCAUCUGAUUGUCUGUAUGCACCUGUUGUCUCUGGCCUUAUACUUUUGUAAGCUCUCUUGAGCAGGGUUCUGUGUUUGUACAGCACCCAGCACCAAGAGGCAGGAGCGGUACAAGGUCCCUAAAAGUGUGGGAGAGUGCCACCGGCGCCUGAACCGUGC